UACGAAGGGGAGCUAGCGUUGCUCGGAAUCACUGGGCGUAAAGCGCACGUAGGCGGAUUGUUAAGUCAGGGGUGAAAUCCUGGAGCUCAACUCCAGAACUGCCUUUGAUACUGGCGAUCUUGAGUCCGGGAGAGGUGAGUGGAACUGCGAGUGUAGAGGUGAAAUUCGUAGAUAUUCGCAAGAACACCAGUGGCGAAAGGCGGCUCACUGGCCCGGUACUGACGCUGAGGUGCGAAAGCGUGGGGAGCAACAGG
rnacentral:rRNA from 1 species